rnacentral:pre_miRNA from 9 species
AUUUGAUGAUACUGCUGAUGCUGGCAGUGAUGCCGAUGGUGCGGGCUGGAAAUGGGGUGCUACGUCAUCGUUGUCAUCGUCAUCAUCAUCAUCCAAG